UCAGCUGGUAGCGCGAAGUUGGCGUGCGUUUCUAGCAAGCGUUGACAGUGUUCUCAAUUAGCGAGUGUGUCCCAUGCAUGGCUCUGUCAUUUCGGGUCAACAUUCUUAAUCUUUAGUGAUGCACACAUUCGGUCAGCGGAGAGCCUUGUAAUAAUUCUGGUGCAUCAUUCUGCUUUGCUUUACGAUUCGUCAUUUGCAACCGCUGCCUUGAAAGUAAACACUGCUGAAGCUCUUGCAUAACGAAGUGGGCUGCGCACAAAAGCGAACUGAAGAGGCAAACCGGGGCGUCUCAGUGACCACGGCCAAACGGGUCGACGGCUGCAAGAGUGCGGAGCAGCCGUCACGACAACAAUGAGUGAAAAGCCUGCGCCGACAAAGGGGAGAGCAAAGCCCAAGCAGCAAGGGAGUGUCAAGUGCGAUUCUGUGCAACCUGAUGUGUUGAGACCUGACGCACACAGUGAAGCCUCCGAAGUGACAGCUGUGCCUUCAAAGGAGCCAGAAGCUGAGGCUGAAUGCAAGGAAUGCCACUCCUGGAUUGGAGAACUGUUUUCUUCCGACAACCUCUGGGAAGCGUCUUCCACAGUUCCUGCUUCUGAUGUUACGGCACCAGCAG
rnacentral:lncRNA from 1 species